rnacentral:misc_RNA from 1 species
GAUGAAGAACGUAGCGAAAUGCGAUAAGUAAUGUGAAUUGCAGAAUUCAGUGAAUCAUCGAAUCUUUGAACGCACAUUGCGCCCCCUGGUAUUCCGGGGGGCAUGCCUGUUCGAGCGUCAUUUCACCACUCAAGCCUCGCUUGGUAUUGGGCAACGCGGUCCGCCGCGUGCCUCAAAUCGACCGGCUGGGUCUUCUGUCCCCUAAGCGUUGUGGAAACUAUUCGCUAAAGGGUGUUCGGGAGGCUACGCCGUAAAACAACCCCAUUUCUAAGGUUGACCUCGGAUCAGGUAGGGAUACCCGCUGAACUUAAGCAUAUCAAUAAGCGGGA